GGGGAUUUGGCUCAGUGGUAGAGCACUUGCCUAGCAAGCGCAAGGCCCUGGGUUCGGUCCCCAGCUCCA
rfam:Rattus norvegicus chromosome 5, whole genome shotgun sequence.